rnacentral:rRNA from 1 species
CAAACGACUCUSGGCAACGGAUAUCUCGGCUCAUGCAUCGAUGAAGAACGUAGCAAAAUGCGAUACUUGGUGUGAAUUGCAGAACCCCGUGAACCAUCGAGUUUUUGAACGCAAGUUGCGCCCGAAGCCUUUUGGUCGAGGGCACGUCUGCCUGGGCGUCACAC